rnacentral:rRNA from 1 species
CCUACGGGAGGCUGCAGUGAGGAAUAUUGGGCAAUGGAGGCAACUCUGACCCAGCCAUGCCGCGUGCAGGAAUAAGGUCCUAUGGAUUGUAAACUGCUUUUAUACAGGAAGAAACCUCUCUACGUGUAGGGACUUGACGGUACUGUAUGAAUAAGCACCGGCUAACUCCGUGCCAGCAGCCGCGGUAAUACGGAGGGUGCAAGCGUUAUCCGGAAUCAUUGGGUUUAAAGGGUCCGCAGGCGGUCAAUUAAGUCAGAGGUGAAAUCCAGUCGCUUAACGAUUGAACUGCCUUUGAUACUGGUUGACUUGAGUCAUAUGGAAGUAGAUAGAAUGUGUAGUGUAGCGGUGAAAUGCUUAGAUAUUACACAGAAUACCGAUUGCGAAGGCAGUCUACUACGUAUGUACUGACGCUCAUGGACGAAAGCGUGGGGAGCGAACAG